rnacentral:rRNA from 1 species
AGAGUUUGAUCCUGGCUCAGGAUGAACGCUGGCGGCGUGCCUAACACAUGCAAGUCGAACGAAGCUUGACGGAUGAUUUCUUCGGAAUGAAACCAGAUAUGACUUAGUGGCGGACGGGUGAGUAACACGUGAGCAACCUGCCUUUCAGAGGGGGAUAACGGCUGGAAACGGUCGCUAAUACCGCAUGAUGUGUUCGGAUGGCAUCAUCUGAACAUCAAAGAUUUAUCGCUGAAAGAUGGGCUCGCGUCUGAUUAGCUAGUUGGUGGGGUAACGGCCUACCAAGGCGACGAUCAGUAGCCGACCUGAGAGGGUGACCGGCCACAUUGGGACUGAGACACGGCCCAAACUCCUACGGGAGGCAGCAGUGGGGAAUAUUGCACAAUGGGGGAAACCCUGAUGCAGCGACGCCGCGUGAGUGAAGAAGUAUUUCGGUAUGUAAAGCUCUAUCAGCAGGGAAGAAAAUGACGGUACCUGACUAAGAAGCCCCGGCUAACUACGUGCCAGCAGCCGCGGUAAUACGUAGGGGGCAAGCGUUAUCCGGAUUUACUGGGUGUAAAGGGAGCGCAGGCGGUGCGGCAAGUCUGAUGUGAAAGCCCGGGGCUCAACCCCGGUACUGCAUUGGAAACUGUCGUACUAGAGUGUCGGAGGGGUAAGCGGAAUUCCUAGUGUAGCGGUGAAAUGCGUAGAUAUUAGGAGGAACACCAGUGGCGAAGGCGGCUUACUGGACGAUAACUGACGCUGAGGCUCGAAAGCGUGGGGAGCAAACAGGAUUAGAUACCCUGGUAGUCCACGCCGUAAACGAUGAGUGCUAGGU